rnacentral:rRNA from 1 species
GACGAACGCUGGCGGCGUGCUUAACACAUGCAAGUCGAACGGAAAGGCCUGCAGCUUGCUGCGGGUACUCGAGUGGCGAACGGGUGAGUAACACGUGGGUGAUCUGCCUUGCACUUCGGGAUAAGCUUGGGAAACUGGGUUUAAUACCGGAUAGGACAGCUGUUUAGUGUCAGUUGUGGAAAGUUUUUUCGGUGCAAGAUGAGCUCGCGGCCUAUCAGCUUGUUGGUGGGGUAAUGGCCUACCAAGGCGUCGACGGGUAGCCGGCCUGAGAGGGUGUACGGCCACAUUGGGACUGAGAUACGGCCCAGACUCCUACGGGAGGCAGCAGUGGGGAAUAUUGCACAAUGGGCGGAAGCCUGAUGCAGCGACGCCGCGUGGGGGAUGAAGGCCUUCGGGUUGUAAACUCCUUUCGACAGGGACGAAGCUUUUGUGACGGUACCUGUAUAAGAAGCACCGGCUAACUACGUG